CAGUAGCCGCGGGAAUACGUAGGGUGCAAGCGUUAAUCGGAAUUACUGGGCGUAAAGCGUGCGCAGGCGGUUAUAUAAGACAGAUGUGAAAUCCCCGGGCUCAACCUGGGAACUGCAUUUGUAACUGUAUAGCUAGAGUACGGCAGAGGGGGAUGGAAUUCCGCGUGUAGCAGUGAAAUGCGUAGAUAUGCGGAGGAACACCGAUGGCGAAGGCAAUCCCCUGGGCCUGUACUGACGCUCAUGCACGAAAGCGUGGGGAGCAAACAGGAUUAGAUACCCGGGUAGUCCCUGUCUCUUAUAC
rnacentral:rRNA from 1 species